rnacentral:rRNA from 1 species
GACGAACGCUGGCGGCGUGCCUAAUACAUGCAAGUAGAACGCUGAAGCUUGGUGCUUGCACCGAGCGGAUGAGUUGCGAACGGGUGAGUAACGCGUAGGUAACCUGCCUGGUAGCGGGGGAUAACUAUUGGAAACGAUAGCUAAUACCGCAUAACAGUAGAUAUCGCAUGAUAGCUACUUGAAAGGUGCAAAUGCACCACUACCAGAUGGACCUGCGUUGUAUUAGCUAGUUGGUGAGGUAACGGCUCACCAAGGCAACGAUACAUAGCCGACCUGAGAGGGUGAUCGGCCACACUGGGAAUGAGACACGGCCCAGACUUCUACGGGAGGCAGCAGUAGGGAAUCUUCGGCAAUGGACGGAAGUCUGACCGAGCAACGCCGCGUGAGUGAAGAAGGUUUUCGGAUCGUAAAGCUCUGUUGUAAGAGAAGAACGAGUGUGAGAGUGGAAAGUUCACACUGUGACGGUAUCUUACCAGAAAGGGACGGCUAACUACGUG